AGCAGAGAUGGAGACAGGGUCAGCGCCCCCUGCCAGCCCUCGCCCCUCGGGCUUCUGUCUUCACAGCAGGCAUCUCCUUAGGCAGGACGGCAAUUCAUUUUAACAGCUAUACCCUUUGGGCCCACAGUGCGUUGGACACUCAAAGUCUUGGGACUUGAGAUAAACAGCCCAGCGCAACCCACUGACCUCCUGUGAGUGGCGAAGUCGUCCAGGUCGGCACUCCGCACCACCCUCUCGUAGGGCACGUUGGCCGUGAUGAGCCUGCGGCUGUUAAAGGAGAUGUGACGGACGGGGUGUCUGGAACACAAAGCGGGGGGCUCCUGUAAAGAGGAAGAAACGGGGUCCUCAGAAGGGUGGUGUCUCGCCUCUGCUCCCAAUGCUGGUCGGAGCCAGGCCACUCUGUAAGCAAGUCCCAGUGCCCCCGAUGCAUGCUGGUCGGUUGCCCAGCAACGUGG